rnacentral:snRNA from 1 species
GGAAUUGAGAGCAAUGUGGUGGUGAUAUCUGUCACUCUUGAUCACAAGGGUUGAUCUGUCUGAACCGGGUGACUGUCACUGCUCCCUGUAAGUCUCUCCAUCCUCCUGACUUCCCCAGUAAGAGGAGGGCGUACUUGACUCAAGGGGAUAUGAGUAGUUACACAUUUCUACUAGAGUCUCCGAACAAGUCCUCAAGGUCCAUUUGUAGGAGAACAUAGGGGAGUCCAGCUUCCAGGACUCCAGAUGCAGCAAGUGAGGUGCUGCUUGUGGCAGUCUGCCUUUCU